rnacentral:rRNA from 1 species
GACGAACGCUGGCGGCGUGCUUAACACAUGCAAGUCGAGCGGUAAGGCCCCUUCGGGGGUACACGAGCGGCGAACGGGUGAGUAACACGUGAGCAAUCUGCCCUUCACACGGGGAUAACUCCGGGAAACCGAAGCUAAUACCCGAUACGACCACUUCAGGCAUCUGAUGGUGGUGGAAAGUUCCGGCGGUGAAGGAUGAGCUCGCGGCCUAUCAGCUUGUUGGUGGGGUAACGGCCCACCAAGGCAACGACGGGUAGCCGGCCUGAGAGGGUGACCGGCCACACUGGGACUGAGACACGGCCCAGACUCCUACGGGAGGCAGCAGUGGGGAAUAUUGGACAAUGGGCGAAAGCCUGAUCCAGCAACGCCGCGUGAGGGAUGACGGCCUUCGGGUUGUAAACCUCUUUCAGCAGGGACGAAGCGCAAGUGACGGUACCUGCAGAAGAAGCACCGGCCAACUACGUGCCAGCCGCCGCCGUAA